rnacentral:rRNA from 1 species
UACGUAGGGACCAAGCGUUGUCCGGAAUCAUUGGGCGUAAAGCGCGCGUAGGCGGCCCGGUAAGUCCGUUGUAAAAGUCAAAGGCUCAACCUUUGAAUGCCGAUGGAUACUGCCGGGCUAGAGUCCGGAAGAGGCGAGUAGAAUUCCUGGUGUAGCGGUGGAAUGCGCAGAUAUCAGGAGGAACACCGAUGGCGAAGGCAGGUCUCUGGGCCGAUACUGACGCUGAGGAGCGAAAGCGUGGGGAGCGAACAGG